rnacentral:lncRNA from 15 species
AUGUGGAAGUUGAAGGUGUCUCUCUCCACAUGCUUUUGGAGCCCUAAAGCUCUUUCCCCUGUGAUCAGCUUUAAUAGCAGGCUAGGUGAGAACAUUUUCCAGAUAAGCUGCUGUGAUCUUUGUUUCUCUUGUAGGAGAGCGUUGGCUGUUUCAAAGCCUCUCUCUCUCUCUCUCUCUCUCUGCUGGCUUGUAUUUUGUUGUAUGAUGAACAUUUCAGAUAUUUCACUUUGCCUUUGUACAAUCUGUAGCGUGGAACUGUCACCAACUGCAUGUGCAACCAGUUAUUUUUGCUCUUGUGAAAGGUUUUAUUUUCCAUUCAUGUUGUGGAGUUUUUCAUCUUCAUCUUUCUUGGCCUCUGCUUUCUACUGUAAUGUAUGAGUGAAUUACUGAUUGAUCAUUUGACCUGAACAGAAAUCACACUGAUGAUGAUUGACUGAAUUUGGAGCAGAUGAUGUCGGUAAAAACUCUGAGUUCAAAAACAAUGAGCUUCAAAGUUGUUUGUGUAUAAGCAGCCACAUUUGCAUAUUAUUUGUGGGAUAAAAAUUCUCAUUGUAAAAUAAAAGUGCUGUUUGAUUGUGUUCAAUUCACCUUUUUACUUUGUUUGUGUUCUGCAUGAUUGAGAGUCACUCACAAGCUGGACCAAUCAGAGCACACCUGGAACAAAGCAUGCCUCUAUAAAGAGGGCAACAUCAACUAAACAUCAAGAUCCAUAUUACAUACAUACACAUUAAACCCCACACAUCAGAGAUUGAGUCAAAUGGAUUUAAUUAAUCACAAAUCAUCCAUGAAAAAAUAUUAUUAUAAAAUACAUAGAAAAAUAGUAAUUGUUCUAUAGUAGUGUUACUACAACAGGGCAGAAUUUGUGCAGUAUUUGCUUUCUGAUCAAAGAUAGAAGUGUUUUGGGAUAUGUGUCUUUAACAAUGUCCAGAUGUUUCACAGCUUAAAAAACUGAUUAUGUUUGUAAAAAUAUAACAAAUUCUUUAAAGUGCUUUUUAAAAAUGAGGUUGUACAGCGCUUCACAAGGUGGCAAAAACGAGCACAAAUACAACAAUAAAAUACCAGCUCCGUCCCUACAGUUGUUUAAAAAAUCCUGGUUCAGUCAGAGUUCAUAUCAAGAAGAACCUCUGAACAGUGCAGCUGCAUUUUAAUCCGUACAAAAUCAACAUUCACGUAUAAAAGAUUCGACAGAAUACUUGGCCCCUCAUUGUUGGAAUUUCUGUAGGACGAGGUUUGUCGUCAUUAUGUGCAUAUUUCUUCCUAGUGUCAAUGACAAACAGCGCCACCAGGAGGUCUUAGGCCCGAGCUACAGUUAACAUUUGGACAUUUUGACUCUAGGAGAUUGUUAAAAACAGUUUGAGGAACAGCAGAGAGUUGAGAGCUUAAUUGAACAAACACUGAUGAUUUAGACAUGAUAUAAAACGAUCCAUCAACCAGGAGGUUUUACUGGAAGUACCUGAUAAAAAAUGUUUGGAUGCAAUAAACGUUUGGCAGCUGGGUCAAAGAACCAAGAGUUAAGCUCAAGUAUUUGUGUCACUGGUGUGUUUCUCAUGGUGUGCAGACUCAGGACUGUUGUCAGCAUCAGAGUAACAGUCCAUCCAUGUUUUCCCUGUUGUGUCCUCUCCAGUUUUGCCUUGCACACGUAUCUGUAUGAAACAAAACAGAUCAUUAGUCAGAGCUUUCCAAAAUGGCUCAUGAGCUUUUUUCUGUUCUUUGACCUCUCCGGUCCACACAGGGUUACGUUUAAUCAGGUACAACUACAGCAGCAU